AUUGAACGCUGGCGGUAUGCUUAACACAUGCAAGUCGAACGGCAGCACGGGUGCUUGCACCUGGUGGCGAGUGGCGAACGGGUGAGUAAUACAUCGGAACGUACCUUAUCGUGGGGGAUAACGCAGCGAAAGCUGUGCUAAUACCGCAUACGCCCUGAGGGGGAAAGCGGGGGAUCGAAAGACCUCGCGCGAUUAGAGCGGCCGAUGCCUGAUUAGCUUGUUGGUGGGGUAAAAGCCCACCAAGGCGACGAUCAGUAGCUGGUCUGAGAGGACGAUCAGCCACACUGGGACUGGGACACGGCCCAGACUCCUACGGGAGGCAGCAGUGGGGAAUUUUGGACAAUGGGGGCAACCCUGAUCCAGCAAUGCCGCGUGAGUGAAGAAGGCCUUCGGGUUGUAAAGCUCUUUUGUCAGGGAAGAAACACCGGCUCUAACACAGUCCGGGAAUGACGGUACCUGAAGAAUAAGCACCGGCUAACUACGUGCCAGCCGCCGCGGUAA
rnacentral:rRNA from 1 species